rnacentral:rRNA from 1 species
UACGAAGGGGGCUAGCGUUGUUCGGAAUUACUGGGCGUAAAGCGCGCGCAGGCGGUUUUCCAAGUCAGUGGUGAAAGCCCGGAGCUCAACUCCGGAAUUGCCAUUGAAACUGCAAAACUUGAGGACGAGAGAGGUGAGUGGAAUUCCCAGUGUAGAGGUGAAAUUCGUAGAUAUUGGGAAGAACACCGGUGGCGAAGGCAGCUCGCUGGGACGGUACUGACGCUGAGACGCGAAAGCGUGGGGAGCAAACAGG